rnacentral:rRNA from 1 species
CCUACGGGAGGCAGCAGUGAGGAAUAUUGGUCAAUGGCCGAGAGGCUGAACCAGCCAAGUAGCGUGCAGGAUGACGGCCCUCGUGGUUGUAAACUGCUUUUAGUCGGGAAUAAAAGGGGGUUCGUGAAUCCCGUAUUGUAUGUACCGUCAGAAAAAGGACCGGCUAAUUCCGUGCCAGCAGCCGCGGUAAUACGGAAGGUCCGGGCGUUAUCCGGAUUUAUUGGGUUUAAAGGGAGCGUAGGCGGGCCGUUAAGUCAGUUGUGAAAGUUCGGGGCUCAACCCCGGAAUUGCAGUUGAAACUGCCG